CUGACGAAGAAGAACCACCAGUAGCUUCUACCAGCGCCUCCUCAAAACUCAGGGUGGAUACCGGCGUAAAGCAUGCUAUGAAGUGUGGGAGAACCGCGUAAGAAUAGAAGGGAUUAAGGGUUUCUUCAAUCUACUUUUUAGGCAUUUUCGCUCAUUCGACAAUGGCAACAUGGUUGCAGAGGAUAAUUAGAACCAGAGCCUCUAGUUUUCCCCCAACAACACCAAAACUGCUCCCUCAUCAUUCUUCUUCUUCUUCUUCUAGAUUCUUCUCCAAAUCAACCCAAUACAUUGUGAAGGUUGGAAUACCAGAAUUUCUAACU